rnacentral:lncRNA from 1 species
CAGAACUAAAGAUCGUGAAAGCCAGGUGGGCAAACACCUGGAAAUAGCAUAUUGGACAGAAUCCUUAAUAAGGUACAACCCCCCUUUGCCUUCAUUGCAAAAAUGUAGAACUGCGGUUAGACUCCACCAUUUUGGGGGUCUUUUCAAUUGAUCUAGACAAAGCGGUGGUAGAAACCAAGGUAAAGGAGGCAGGUGAGGUGUGAGUCUUUUCCUCUCCUAAAUUUGGUAAUUCUGAAUGUCACAAAGGUCCUUUGUUUCAGAACACUGUGUGUUCCAAGCAAUUCCUGGAAUUUUUUAAAUGGCUUCCAUUUUCCUGGAGGAGUAGCUUGUAAUGAUCUGCUUGGCUCUCUGCCUUUAACAGCCCUCUACUGGAGUCACUUAACCCCCAAUUUGUAGAUUCAGCCCUGCUCCCAACCCUGUCCUCAGGCGGAGGGAAGGUAUGUCCACCCAGCCUCUCCUGCCUGUUUUUACUGGUCACCAGCUCAUCUAUGAAGAGCAAGGAUCCCUGUUAGUCUCUGGCAGAGACGGGCAUUUACUCCUGGCUAGGAAUGAAAAACAAAAGAUGUAUUUAUUUUUAAAUGUCUGUUUGUAAAUCUAAAACAAAGGUGAAAUCUUAGAAAAAUAAGUACUCCCAAACAAUUGGCAAGUAUCA